AAAUAAUUCGUUUAAUAUAAUGAAAGGUUUUAAAAAGAAUUGUUUGAUACAAUAGGCUAUAAUUAUUUAAAAGCUAAUAUUCAUUUUAUAUAAAAAAAUUAUUAAAAAUAAAUUUAUAGAAACUUUAAAUAUUUUAAUCAUGCUUUAGGUAUAUAUAAUGUUUUUAUUUAAAAAUAUAAAAUCAUAGAAAUGAUGUUUUACAAAUUUAAUAAUUUAUUAUUUU
rnacentral:tRNA from 1 species